rnacentral:lncRNA from 1 species
CAAGAUGCUACAGUCAGAUUCUUAACCCUCUGUGCCACAGUGGGAUCUCUUCUCUCUUUUUAUCUAAUCUAAGUUUUGUCAUUCUUGCUUAUCUUGUAUAAUAUUCUUUUUUCUGAAAACUACCAUUGCUUUAAGUAUAUACAUUUCUGAUUUAUUUUUGGUAUCAAUCACUGAGAAUAGGAAUAGGUAAAAAAAAAAUGUUUAAGUCUAAUUACUUCUAUGAGAACCUUAGCAAUAGGCUUAUUAUUUAGCACUGACCCUAAUUAGGUAUAAAGGAUUUUUUUCAUUUCUGUUUUCUGGUUUUUUUUCUUUUUUUCGUCUUUUUCAAAUUGACAGAUGACAUGAGGCUUGAAUAGAGGAUAUAGUGGAUAAUACAAACAGAUUUGAAAAUGCUGGGAUUAUAUGCCUCAACUAAGAAGAUAAAAUUAAGGAAGACAACCAGACUUUUUAUGAAGUUACAUUCAGAGUCCAAUGAUAAAGGCACAAGACUUGUUGCCUAA